UACGUAGGGUGCAAGCGUUGUCCGGAAUUAUUGGGCGUAAAGAGCUCGUAGGCGGUUUGUCGCGUCUGCUGUGAAAACCCGAGGCUCAACCUCGGGCCUGCAGUGGGUACGGGCAGGCUAGAGUGCGGUAGGGGAGACUGGAAUUCCUGGUGUAGCGGUGUAAUGCGCAGAUAUCAGGAGGAACACCGGUGGCGAAGGCGGGUCUCUGGGCCGUAACUGACGCUGAGGAGCGAAAGCAUGGGGAGCGAACAGG
rnacentral:rRNA from 1 species